rnacentral:lncRNA from 1 species
UAGCUAAAAACAACUUCAGAAAGCUUCUGGAAAGUGAUCUAACUGGUCUGGCCAGAUUCUCCUCCUUUCCAGGAAGCACGUGUUCCCAUUCAUUCAUUCGUUAAACACGCAUCCUGCAUCUGCUCUAUGCUGAGCACUGGAGAGAUGGGAGAAAGGAGAACCAGCUCCUGCCCUCCAGGAGAAGAGGCAGACACACACUGUUAACUUUGACAGGUGUACUGGGUGUGGCCAUCGGGGGCACACAGAGGAGCCACGGAACACAGACAGGACCACUGGUCAUCAGGGGAGGGGACGCUGGUGAGGACCAGGAGAGCAUCACACAAGGUCAAGCAAGGAGCAAAGGCCGGAGCAGAUGAGGAAACAGGGACCCAGAGAGGUUGAGUCCCCUGCCCAAAGGCCCAGAGCCAGGAAGAAGUGGAGUGUUGAGCACAGAGACGGGCACGCAACGAGCACUUACUCAACGGGCUCCAUGACGAUGAUAAGAGGCCAGCCAAGACACGGACAGUGCGAACGGACAGGACAGUGAACAAGAACGCUCACACUGCAGUGCACACACUGCAUAACCCAUCGAUUGUCACCAGCCCCCAGAAAAGGGGUGUAACCACCCACCUACUAGGACCAGUUCAACUGCCCACAUCUUAUCAACAGAGUAAUUAGGAGUGGUUUUCAGGAUCUGAGUCCUCCCUUGUCCACUUCAGGCCGGUUGAGACCACCAACCCCUCAACUGGGCCUGCACAAAUGCCCGAUAAGUGGCCCUUUGAUGUCAAGGAGCUGAAAACUCCACCCUGAGAUCAUGGUGAGGCCGCCAUUUUGUGGACAUCCAUCCUGAGAAGAGCCGUGAAGCCUGACUCUGCGCGCAGGUCAUGAUCACCUCUCUCCUCACCUCCAGUCACGUCUCCACACUUCCGCCCGCCCUACCCUUCAUCCCAUAAAUUCUGCCCCAAGCCCUGGGUCAGGAGACAGAUCUGAGAGUGCUGCCGCCUGCCUCCCUGCAGGUCGGUCUCACACUAAAGCUGUGGUCUUUUCUCAAAAGCUGAUGCUGCCAUAAUCGGCACUUUAUGAAUAUCGGGUGAGAGAACCCCAACUUUGUGCUGCAAUAGGGUUUCUACAGUUUCUACACAUUCUAAGGAUGGUGAUGACGACCCGCAUUCCCAGAUCAGUAGAACGCGGCCUGGCGAUUCAGGACUUUAUAGUCCCAGAACGUUAACCCUCCUCCUCCUGAUCUUGCCAGAAACACCGACAACUGGUGACACGGUCAGUGAAUUUGCUUCCAACAUCUGGUGGUUUGACUGUGUGGGGUUCCCCUACCACUCCUGUCACACGAGAGACCAGAAUAGGGCUCAGUAUGAAAAUGUACAUGCAGCUGGGCCUGGCUGAGCACACCACACAGAACAUCUUGGAAUCCCAGGAUGGCCCUUUGUGUUACAAUCUUCACACGAGGGUUCACAUACUUAUGUCCAAUAUCAAGAAUGCUCCAAGGCAAACUGACAAGCGGAAAUGAGGAACCUGAGGGCGGACAUUGUCCACAGAUGAGCUUUGGGCUGCAGACUUCUCCCUGGACUGUCAUUGCUUGCUGCUGGACACCGCACAAAGGCGCCUCCCAACUACUGGACCAAAGACUCGUUGAGGAGCAGACAGUGUCCCUGGGAGUGAGGCCAGAGAGUCCUGGAUCGCUACCCCAAACUUGCCUUUGGGUACUGACCUGGGAGGCUGAACUCCCUUCCCCCUGCUCUGCUCUACCUAUCGUAGGGGUCAGCAGACUUCUUCCUUAAGAGGCCAGACGUUAAAUGCUUUAGGUUUUCUGGACCAAGAGGCGAAAAUCUAGGAUAUUAUGUAGGAAUUCAUGUAAUAAAAGAAAAAAAUUUCAACUGGUGAAAUUCAAAUAUAAUAAU